GCCAGCUCCCCCUGAGGAGGACGAGGAGGAGGAGGAAUGAUUCUGCGGGCAGUCUGCCAGAUUGGCAAUUUGAAACGCACUGUCUGUGACGGCUGCUGAGGCUGCUGCGGGGGAGUGAAGGGCUGUCAUGACGAUGACCCCUGGAGGUCUGGGAACAGCAUGAAGAAGCAGAAUUGGCGGCUCCAAGCUAACCGGGGCAGGGGAUCAGUGGCAGCUGCUGGAUUCUGAGCUCUGACCUCCCUCCUUGUCAUGUUGCCUGAGGAGAAUUGCAGACAGACCCUCAGACCUCAAAUAUUCUAAAUUUUGAAGUCCCAGCUUUGGCUGAGAGGAGGCCAGCAUUGGAGUACAAGAGAAAUACAUCAUUUCCAUGGAGAAAUGAAGGAACUCUCUGAAGCCUGGAAACCCCUGGGAGGGGAGCACAUGUAUUAUUCUAGAUCAGAACUAAAUAUUCCAGCAUGGAGGAUGACCUCACGUGGCCUCCCUGUCGAAAGACAUGCAACCUAUGUAUUAAGUAAGAUAUUGUUGAUGGCAAGUACACACUGCUUGGCAUUGAUUUCUUCCUUGCUGCAAGGAGGUGGACCCAAGGUGAAUUCAAAAUGGAACACAGGAAAUAAGAAGUAAAUAUAGUGAAAGGCAAGAAUUUGAUUUGAUGAAACUCAUCACUAAAUGAUGAAACUGAUUACUCAACGUAUGUUAUUACUAGAGCUUUUUAGUAGAGAUAUGAUACUAUCGGUGUGAGCCAAUAUAAAAUUGCAUUGUAAUAAAGAGCACUGGAUCUAAAAUGAGA